UACAGAGGGUGCAAGCGUUGUUCGGAAUUAUUGGGCGUAAAGGGCGCGUAGGCGGUGCGGUAAGUCUGUAGUGAAAUCUCUGGGCUCAACUCAGAGUCUGCUAUAGAAACUGCCGUGCUCGAGUGUGGGAGAGGUGAGUGGAAUUCCCGGUGUAGCGGUGAAAUGCGUAGAUAUCAGGAGGAACACCGGUGGUGUAGACGGCUCUCUGGACCGUAACUGACGCUGAGACACGAAAGCGUGGGUAGCAAACAGG
rnacentral:rRNA from 1 species